GAUGAACGCGGACAGAAUGCUUAACACAUGCAAGUCUUUGGCGAAGCUGUGCUUGCACAGCCUAGCCAAGGCGGACGGGUGAGUAACGCGUAAGGAACUUGCCCUGCAGUCAGGGAUAACAGACGGAAACGACUGAUAAGACCUGGUAAAGUCAGGCGGACUCAUGUCCAGCCUGAUGAAAAGAGAUGCUGCAGGAGAGCCUUGCGUCCUAUUAGCUUGUUGGUGGGGUAACGGCCCACCAAGGCGAUGAUAGGUAGCCGGCCUGAGAGGGUGGACGGCCACAAGGGGACUGAGAUACGGCCCUUACUCCUACGGGAGGCAGCAGUGGGGAAUAUUGGACAAUGGGGGCAACCCUGAUCCAGCAAUUCUGUGUGCACGAUGAAGGUUUUCGGAUUGUAAAGUGCUUUCAGCAGGGAAGAAAAAAAGA
rnacentral:rRNA from 1 species